UACGUAGGGGGCUAGCGUUGUCCGGAAUCAUUGGGCGUAAAGCGCGUGUAGGCGGUUCGGUAAGUCCGCUGUGAAAGUCGGGGGCUCAACCCUCGGAUGCCGGUGGAUACUGUCGGACUAGAGUACGGAAGAGGCGAGUGGAAUUCCUGGUGUAGCGGUGAAAUGCGCAGAUAUCAGGAGGAACACCGAUGGCGAAGGCAGAUCUCUGGGCCGUAACUGACGCUGAGGAGCGAAAGCAUGGGGAGCGAACAGG
rnacentral:rRNA from 1 species